CUAUAAAGCUAUACCUUUGUUAAAAAUAAAAAAUCUAUUGGAAGCCGGCAGGUGUACACGAUAGAAUAUUUCAAGGUGCAUCUACCGAUGCUCUCAAAAUCCUUGUGCCCUGAAGCAGCAGGAAAAUAUUUAUAAACACAACUCAGCAUUAAGAGGAUACCCGUAUGUGUUGUCACCGUCUUACAACUGUGCAGUUUACGAGACGAACUUCAACGAAACCAAAUACCUACUUACGGGCUUGUUGUGUGCUUAUUGCAGACGAUCAGACAACGCAAUUCGACCACGUCGUGCUACAUCAUUAUAUAUUGAUAUGAUCCCGGACAAUCAGCAAACCGGUCUACGUAUAAUAUACAGAGACACGGUGCAUUUGACCGGACAAUUUCUGAUGCGUUGUUGAAUGUUAUAUUAUUAUGGUGUAUGUGAACAGCGUGAAGUGCUAGAAUAUAUUAUUACGUCGACCAUUAGCCAACUAGUAAUUAAUAUCAGCAUAUUAAUCAUCGAGUUUAUAAAGGUUUCAAUGUCGAACUAAAUUUAUAUAUAA